rnacentral:lncRNA from 1 species
CUGAUUUAACUUGAAAAUAUAUAGAGGCAUGUGUAGAAAUUUCCCAUAUGUUCCUUCCCCUCCCUCAUUCCUCACCAGAAUGACAUUAUGAACAGUGUCUUCUACUUAGGUGUUGCCACUUACCCAGAUCUGAUAGAAAGGUAGUUUAUAAAAAUUCUAUUUGUGUACAUUCAAAUUUGACUUACUUUAGAAUAUUAUGAAAUAGAGGAAAGUGAAUAAAAGAAGAAAAAGAAUGCCAGUCUGUGGCACAAAUAGAAAUGAUGACAUUAUAUUACAAGAUUAAUAAAUAGUUUCAUUUAAUUUUAGAUUUUGAUACAACACUUAAAACAU